CGGGGAGGUUCGACUCGAGCGAAGCGAGAGAACGUUGCGCCAGCAACGGCCCGCAGGGCGAGCCACGAAGUGGCGAGUAAUCCUCUAUCACCGACCA
rnacentral:sRNA from 1 species